AUCUGAUUGGCUCAGUUGGAAGAGCAUGCGACUUUUGAUCUCAGGGUCAUGAAUUCAAGCUUCACAUUGGGUA
rnacentral:tRNA from 1 species